rnacentral:rRNA from 1 species
GUCCUAGCCCUAAACGAUGCUCAUUAGAUGUGGGAGGUAUCGACCCCUUCCGCGUCGCAGCUAACGCAUUAAAUGAGCCGCCUGGGGAGUACGGCCGCAAGGUUGAAACUCAAAAGGAAUUGACGGGGGCCCGCACAAGCGGUGGAACAUGUGGUUUAAUUCGACGCAACGCGAAGAACCUUACCCGGGCUUGAACUACAGAUGGUAGGUCCCUAGAAACAGGGGCCGACCCGCAAGGGAGUCUGCAGAGGUGCUGCAUGGUUGUCGU